GAGAAGAAUCAAAUCCCUGGUCACGUCAUGAGGUGCAAUGUCUGCAAUAUGCAUCUGUCGCUCCUCCAGCUCAUGUAAAGUGCGAAGUAAAGGAACCACAGUGCUCGCAAGAUGUCUCCUUUCCUUUGCAGUGUACAUUGGGAAACUGAGAAUCAAAGGAAUUUAAGUGAAAGACUUAAAUUUCACAGGCUAUGGGAAGGUGAGACCCAGACAGUUUUACACAGCUCACUGCAUCUCCACAUUCUGCCUGAUGGCUCCAAGAGCAGAAGCUGGCU